rnacentral:rRNA from 1 species
CCUACGGGAGGCAGCAGUGAGGAAUAUUGGUCAAUGGGCGCAAGCCUGAACCAGCCAAGUCGCGUGAAGGAUGACUGCCCUACGGUUUGUAAACUUCUUUUAUAAGGGAAUAAAGUUAUGCACGUGUGCCUUUUUGUAUGUACCUUAUGAAUAAGCAUCGGCUAACUCCGUGCCAGCAGCCGCGGUAAUACGGAGGAUCCGAGCGUUAUCCGGAUUUAUUGGGUUUAAAGGGAGCGUAGAUUGGUUGUUAAGUCAGUUGUGAAAGUUUGCGGCUCAACCGUAAAAUUGCAGUUGAUACUGGCAGCCUGGAGUACAGUUGAGGUAGGCGGAAUGCGUGGUGUAGCGGUGAAAUGCUUAGAUAUCACGAAGAACUCCGAUUGCGAAGGCAGCUUACUAAACUGCCACUGACAUUGAUGCUCGAAAGCGUGGGGAUCAAACAGGAUUAGAUACCCCGGGAGUC